rnacentral:rRNA from 1 species
CCUACGGGUGGCAGCAGUGGGGAAUGUUGGACAAUGGGCGCAAGCCUGAUCCAGCUAUUCCGCGUGUGGGAUGACGGCCCUCGGGUUGUAAACCACUUUAGUAGAGAACGAAAAGGAGCUAUCGAAUAAAUAGCUCUGCUGACGGUACUCUAAGAAUAAGCACCGGCUAACUACGUGCCAGCAGCCGCGGUAAUACGUAGGGUGCGAGCGUUAAUCGGAAUUACUGGGCGUAAAGGGUGUGCAGGCGGCUGAGUAAGACAGAUGUGAAAUCCCCGGGCUUAACCUGGGAACCGCAUAUGUGACUGCUUGGCUCGCGUGCGUCAGAGGGAGGUGGACUUCCACGUGUCGCCGUGAACUGCGUCGUUCUGUGGACGAACACCGCUGGCGACGGCAGCUUCCUGGGACGCAACUGACGCUCAUACACGAACGCGUGGGGCUCAAACCGGCUUCGCUACCCGGUAGUC